rnacentral:misc_RNA from 1 species
AAUUAGCCCCGAUCAAACGGCAUGUCUGAGCUCUUUUGUUGAGUUUCGGCGGCGGCUUCGCCGCCGCCGAAACUCAACAAAAAGCGAGUAGUGAGAGCGGGAAAAAAG